ACCCGUAUGCGCAAAGAAAGUGAUAGCNUAUUGGCUGAGAAUGACCUGACGACCAGACAAGAAAUAUCAUGUCCNUCGUACNGUCAUUGCCCAAGUCCUAUGGUCAGAUCCCAUGGACAUGGAGUUGGAGCGUGCAUGCUAGGACCCGAAAGAUGGUGAACUAUGCCUGGACAAAGCGAAGCCAAAGGAAACUCUGGUGGAGGCUUGUAGCGAUUCUGACGUGCAAAUCGAUCGUCUGAUCUGGGUAUAGGGGCGAAAGACUAAUCGAACCAUCUCAUAGCUGGUUCCUGCCGAAGUUUCCCUCAGGAUAGCAGAGACGUUGUGGAAGUUGCAUGUGGUAAAGCGAAUGAUUAUUGACCCUGGGGCUCAAAUGGACCUCAAUCUAUUCUCAAACUGUGAAUGCGUGCGGUUGGACUGUGCUUUGCGUUGAAGCCCUGCCAGCAAUGCUUCAGUCUCUAGUGGGCCGUUUCUGGUAAGCAGAACUGGCGAUGCGGGAUGAACCGAAAGCGAGGUUAAAGUGCCAGAAUGCACACUAACCAGAGAUAAAAGGCGUAUGUGCAUGGACACAGCAGGGCAGUGGCCAUGGAGGUUGGCAUCUGCUAAGGAGUGUGUAACAACUCACCUGCCUAAUGUACUUGCCCUGAAAAUGGAUGGCGCUCA
rnacentral:rRNA from 1 species